UACGUAGGGGCCUAGCGCUGUCCGGAAUUAUUGGGCGUAAAGAGCUCGUAGGCGGCGCAGAAAGUAGGGUGUGAAAGCCCUCGGCUCAACCGAGGAAUUGCGCUCUAAACUACUGUGCUUGAGGAAGCUAGAGGUGAGCGGAACUGAUGGUGGAGCGGUGAAAUGCGUUGAUAUCAUCAGGAACACCGGAGGCGAAGGCGGCUCACUGGGGCUUUUCUGACGCUGAGGAACGAAAGCCAGGGGAGCGAACGGG
rnacentral:rRNA from 1 species